CAAGUUUUCUUACUAGUACUCAACAACAGGUAGGUUUUUUGUGUUUGUGUGUUAAAAAAAUAAGCUUUAGGUAAAAAUUUAAUUGUCAUCAUUGGAAAAUGGCUUUAAAGUAAUCUUUAAAGGUUUUUAAAUAAUUGUGACGCGUCAUGAGACUUUUGGCCCGAAACCGAUAGCCUCGAUAUCGAGAAAAACGUGCGCAAAGUUGAAGCGUAAAAAAUAAGAAAGUAACGCAGUUUUUAUCGUUAUAACAACCAUUAAACAAUUUGUCACCCUAGAUUGUUCAGUCAAAUAUAGUCUUUAAAAUGUAAUGUUCAUAGAAAUAGUGUUUUUUAACCACUUUCUUUCGUAUUGUUUAUUACUUUUGGUGUUAUCUCCCGUAGUUGUCAUGAGCUAUUUUUUAACCCAAAUUUGAGGAUGUAGGUCAAGCUGAACCAAAGGCAUUUUCCAUCAAAUUAGGAAUUUUUUGGUAAGUAGAAUUAUUUUCAUUGUUUAAGCAUAUAAUUUAACAAAUGUGUAUAUCUUUAAUGUAAUGCAAUAUGUUCUAAAUUCGGUCAAAUGGAUGGAAAUUGAUCGCAGGAAAAGAAAGCGGAAGUGAAAUUUGACAGUCUGACAUUGAAAAUGUAAACAGAUCAAAAUCUAGCAGAUAUUCACUUUUUGCAUACUUAUGAUGACUGAAAAAGGACAUAAUCAAUUUUUCAUCAUCUUACCGCGGCCAACUAUCAACACAAGUCAAGCACCUGCUGUACAUAGAACAACAAUCCAUUACAGCUUUGACUAUGCCAAGCAGGUCUUCUACCCAUACUAGGCACAGCAAGAGUGCCCUGCUCUGAAGUGUUCUGUAAAUCAUAUGGUUCACAGAAAUCUCAGUGAUGGAGGGUUUAGCUGUUAUGUGGCCAAUGGUGUGGUACCUCAUUUUCAACAACAUCCAUAUAGAGAAGACUCUGCAUACCUGCACAUUGACAACUAUGUUGGGUGGAAUAAAAACAAUGCAGUCAUUGGGGUCUGAUGUAUUCUGAAGGGAGAGAAACAGCAUUUACUUAAAUGAAUGCAGGUGACAUAAAGUUCAGUGCUGUGUGAGAUUUGGUCUGUGGAAGACCAAAUGGAGGCAGCACACAUCCUUUGUGGAUUGAUGACCUUGGCAAACUGGUUAUAUUCUUUGACUGGUUGGAGUACACCAAGUGACCCCUGAAGUCCAUUCCAAACUUAAGGAAAUAUCAUCACUUCAGAACUUCAGCUGACCACCCAGUGAGUGAAUUCAUGAGAGAGCAUGCCAAGGACAGUGAGAUUGAAGUUAAAAUUGACAAGCCCACAACAAUGGCUUUUCCAUUGAGAGUACCCUGAACACAUCCAACUAAAAGGACUUAAUGGAAAAAGGCUCUGAUCCCUUAAAUAAGUGAAAAAGCUAAUAUACUGAUAUGUGAUCUUUAUAAACUAAAUAUAAGAUUUGAGAAUGAGCCUGUUACUGAGCUGAUGAAAGCGUGUAUCAAUUCUUUAUUGACAAUUAUUUAUUCAAUAGAAACAUGUUCAUGUGAUAUGAAGCUACCAGUGAUUUUGAGUGAAAAAACUGUGGUUUUAGCAAAUGAUUGAUAGAAGGGUGCUACACCCUGUCUUUUGACGGUAGAGCCCCUCUGCCAUAAUGGAGACCAAUAUAUGAUUAUUAUUAAUACAAACUUAAAACAA